GUGGGGAAUAUUGGACAAUGGGGGGAACCCUGAUCCAGCCAUGCCGCGUGCAGGAAGAAGGCGCUACGCGUUGUAAACUGCUUUUAACCGGGAAGAAACCCCAGGACGUGUCCUGGGUUGACGGUACCGGAGGAAUAAGCACCGGCUAACUUCGUGCCAGCAGCCGCGGUAAUACGAAGGGUGCAAGCGUUAUCCGGAUUCAUUGGGUUUAAAGGGUGCGUAGGCGGAGCGUUAAGUCAGUGGUGAAAUCCUGCAGCUUAACUGUAGACUUGCCAUUGAUACUGGCGCUCUUGAGUGCGCUUGAAGUGGGCGGAAUGUGCCGUGUAGCGGUGAAAUGCUUAGAUAUGGCACAGAACACCAAUUGCGAAGGCAGCUCACUAAGGCGAUACUGACGCUGAGGCACGAAAGCGUGGGGAUCGAACAGGAUUAGAAACCCCAGUAGUCC
rnacentral:rRNA from 1 species